GAUGAACGCUGGCGGCGUGCUUAACACAUGCAAGUCGAACGAGAAAUGUAGACGGAAACCUUCGGGCGGAAGCCUUCAUUUCGAGUGGCGGACGGGUGAGUAACGCGUGGGUAACCUGCCUCAUACAGGGGGAUAACAGUUGGAAACGACUGUUAAUACCGCGUAAGACCACAGCAUCGCAUGAUGCGGGGGUAAAAACUCCGGUGGUAUGAGAUGGACCCGCGUUCGAUUAGCCAGUUGGCGGGGUAACGGCCCACCAAAGCGACGAUCGAUAGCCGAUCUGAGAGGAUGACCGGCCACAUUGGGACUGAGACACGGCCCAAACUCCUACGGGAGGCAGCAGUGGGGAAUAUUGCACAAUGGGGGAAACCCUGAUGCAGCGACGCCGCGUGAGUGAAGAAGUACUUCGGUAUGUAAAGCUCUAUCAGCAGGGAAGAAAAUGACGGUACCUGAGUAAGAAGCCCCGGCUAACUACGUG
rnacentral:rRNA from 1 species